rnacentral:lncRNA from 1 species
GUAAACAGAAAAUUAUUUCAUCUGAUCCUCGCAUCAGAGUUAUGACCAAAUGGCUUAUUACAGUACGAGAAUUUAAUGGAAGUUCUACAUCCAUUUCUUCCAAAUUAUGGCUACAUCUACAACUCUAACAAUAACAAUCCACUAUAAUCCUACUUAAUGGGGUCUGGGGAGGGUAGUGUGUACGCAGACCUUACCCCUACACUUGGGUAGAGAGGCCUGUUUCCAAAUAGACCCCCGACAUCCUUCCCUCCAAGAACUUCCCACCUUGCUUUUGGGGAG